rnacentral:rRNA from 1 species
GAUGAAUGCUGGCGGCGUGCCUAACACAUGCAAGUCGAGCGGCAGCGAGGGGUGCUUGCACCCUGUCGGCGAGCGGCGAACGGCUGAGUAACGCGUAGGAAUUUGCCCCAAAGUGAGGAAUAACUGCCCGAAAGGGUAGCUAAUGCCGCAUAUGGUCUUCGGAUUAAAGGAUUUAUCCGCUUUGGGAGAAGCCUGCGUUGGAUUAGGUUGUUGGUAGGGUAAUGGCCUACCAAGCCGACGAUCCAUAGCUGGUCUGAGAGGAUGAUCAGCCAGACUGGAACUGAGACACGGUCCAGACUCCUACGGGAGGCAGCAGUGAGGAAUCUUCCACAAUGGGCGAAAGCCUGAUGGAGCAACGCCGCGUGAAGGAUGAAGGCCUUCGGGUUGUAAACUUCUUUUAUGAGUGAAGAAUAUGACGGUAACUCAUGAAUAAGCACCGGCUAACCACGUG